rnacentral:lncRNA from 1 species
AAUUUAAAGACUAUAGAAGACACUUUUUUGGGCUCCAGCUAUUUAUACUUUUGAAAGCUAUGUUGGUGAUUAUUGUGUUUUCUGUUCAUGUUUAACACAGAAAAUAACUCCCAAUAAUAGUACAUUAGCAAUGAGUUUAUGUAGAACAAAUACCAAAAAAAAAAAAUUGUAGUGGGUCUUUUCGGUAGGGUUGAUAGCAUCAUAUUGUCAACCUACUUUCUAGACUAUAGCUGUACCAUCUCAGCGUUGGCAAGUAAAAUUCUGUCUGGACAUUUCAAGAUAGUGUAGGGUCAUACAGGGCCGCCACAGCUAAGGACCACUGUGUUUCACUCAUCCAUAGUUCAGAAGAAUUCAGGGACGAGGCCUCUAGCUCUUACAUUCAUUGGCCAUUAUUUCAUUUAUGAACAUAAUUUGCAGCUUUACACAUGGCUCCCCAAGUCUCUAACAUGAUUAUCUCUUUUCAUAUUGGCUAGGUCUCUCCCAUUUAAACCACAAUGCUAAUUGAAUUUCUCUAAGUAAUCUUGAAUAGUACUGCUUAAAUCUAUUUAAAGAUAAAAGGGAACUGAUUUUGAAGAGGAAACUCAGUUGAGGCUAAAUCCUAUACCCGGGCACUGGAGAGAACAUUUCAACAUCAGUGUAAUUGACAUUUAUUGCAAUGUGUCUGUUUUAAUGGUAGAUAUACUUAAAUUGGUUUCCACAUUUCUGUCCAAGUGCAGCAGAUGGCAUGAGUUGACUGUGUAUGAAAUGGUGCCCUGUCUUAGGGGCACAGUCUCUGGAUUGAGGACAUCUCUUCUAUGCAUGAUCAGUUUUCUCUUGUUUUAAACUUCUGUGCCUUCUCUUAAAUAAGGACAAUUAUAUUUUCUUUCAUGUUGUUUCCCUAACUUAAAGUUAGUGAGAGAUAAAUGGUAGCCUUAUAUCUAGCACUGAUUUGACCUGUAAUUUAAGGAUAAUUUAAGGCAUACAAUUUUCUUCCUUUCUUUCUUUCUUUCUUUCUUUCUUUCUUUCUUUCUUUCUUUCUUUCUUUCUUCCUUCCUUCCUUCCUUCCUUCCUUCCUUCCUUUCUUUCUUUCUUUCUUUCUUUCUUUUUUUUUGGAAUUUAAAAAUAACUUCAAAACAAUUCAAGAGGUAUGAAAGGAAACAUGUCAAAUAUGGAGUCAAAUAGAAAGUAUAUGUGGAUGAAUGCAUUAUCCAGGAGAGUGUCCCACUCACCCUGUGGGUUUUGCUUUGUAAGUCCAGCACCAUGGCAGACAGAAACUCUAUAUAAAUAAGAGAAGGAUAAUGUUGCCCCCAAAGUGAUAACUUUCUAUUUACUUAACACACAUAUAUAAUGUGAUUAGAAGGUAGGCUUGUCUUACAGAGGAAGGAAUGGGUUCACAUAAGUUUUCCUCUUAAACAACAGUAAAAGCAAAAGCCAAAAACAAACAAACAAAACACCCCAUG